GAAAUGCGAUAAGUAAUGUGAAUUGCAGAAUUCAGUGAAUCAUCGAAUCUUUGAACGCAUCUUGCGUUCCUUGGUAUUCCUUGGAGCAUGCCUGUUUGAGUAUCAUGAAAUCUUCAAAGUAAAUCUUUUGUUAACUCAAUUGGUUUCUACUUUGGUAUUGGAGGUCUUUGCAGCUUCACACCUGCUCCUCUUUGUUCAUUAGCUGGAUCUCAGUGUUAUGCUUGGUUCCACUCGGCGUGAUAAGUUAUCUAUCGCUGAGGACACUGUAAAAGGUGGCCAAGGUAAAUGCAGAUGAACCGCUUCUAAUAGUCCAUUGACUUGGACAAUACUUUUAUGAUCUGAUCUCAAAUCAGGUAGGACUACCCGCUGAACUUAAGC
rnacentral:misc_RNA from 1 species